CUAGAACGAACGCUGGCGGCAGGCCUAAAACAUGCAAGUUGAACGGCCAUAGCAAUAUGGCAGUAGCGCAAGGGUGAGUAAUGUAUGGGAACGUAUCUUUUGGUGGGGAAUAUUCUUUGGAAACGAAGAGCAAUACCGCAUAAGCCCUACGGGGGAAAGAUUUAUCGCCGAUUGAGCGGCCCAUAUUGGAUUAGCUGGUUGGUUAGGUAACGGCUGACCAAGGCUGUGAUCCAUAGCUGGUCUGAGAGGACGAUCAGCCACACUGGGACUGAGACACGGCCCAGACUCCUACGGGAGGCAGCAGUUAGGAAUAUUGGACAAUGGGGGCAACCCUGAUCCAAGCCAUGCCGCGUGAGUGUUAAGGCCUUCGGGUUGUAAAGCUCUUUUGUAUGGGAAAAUGAUGAUGGUACCAUAAGAAUAAGCACCGGCUAACUUCGUGCCAGCAGCCGC
rnacentral:rRNA from 1 species